rnacentral:sRNA from 1 species
UACUCGACCUAUAAAUGUGGUGUCACAACUAAUGAUCACAGCCAGUUACAGGUUCCUUUGUUCCUUUUCCACCUCCACUGCUUCACUUGACCGGUCUUUA